CUUAUUGCACUUACUCCAAUUGGAAAGGCAAUAGCAUUCGCGUCGCGGAAGAAACAAGAAAGUAAAACAGCGAGAAGCUUUGCAAAUGCAUUGGUUAUUUUUAAAGCACAACCGCGAUUAGAGGAAGUGUCUCUUGUUAGACAAUCGAAUUGGCCAUACAUCGGCAAGAGUGUUAUAAAAGAGAAGCGCGUAGGUGUGCCAACAGCCCAAGCAAAUUCUUUUGCAUUCGCUUUUGAACCGCUUUCAUCGCGAGUUCAGUUUCACUGUGUGCGUGAGCUAAGAGCGUGUGCAAAUAACUUUUGCCGCGUUGUCCGCCUGCUGCGAAUUUCCAACCCAAAGAAGAGAGGGAGAGCGCGCGAAGAGGAAGAGAGGAUCGAUCGGGUGAAUGUCGCUGAAACACCAGAAGCAAUCUUACCAACCGCUCCCAACGGCGGCCGCCAUGGACAAUCCGGCGAUGAUCCAGAGCAGCGGGAGCAGUGGGAGCAGCUCCUCCGAGGAGGGCGGCAGUCGUGAGGAUGUGGCCAAUCUCUCCCCUCUCGGACUGCCUACGACCUACUCGUCACAGCAACUGAUGCCCUCGGAUACGGACAGCAUGGAGGAGGAGCGCCACCGCCUGCGUCCGCACCACCACCACCACCACCCACUGGGCGAGCACCACCACAUCCCGGGCAUACCGCCCUCCGCCGUCGUCCCCUCGCGACUCUCCAGCGUGGGCAGAUCACAGUGGUUCACGGUCACCGUUCUCUGCUUCGUCAACCUCAUCAACUACAUGGAUCGCUUCACGAUCGCAGGUGUCCUCACAGAUGUCCGCGCAGAUUUCGACAUCGGAAACGACAGUGCCGGACUCCUGCAGACCGUCUUCGUUAUCUCGUACAUGGUGUGCGCCCCCAUCUUCGGUUAUCUGGGCGAUCGCUACUCCCGCCCCUGGAUAAUGGCGGUGGGCGUGGGUCUGUGGAGCACCACCACCCUGCUGGGAUCGUUUAUGAAGCAGUUUGGCUGGUUCAUCGCCUUCAGGGCGCUGGUCGGGAUCGGUGAGGCGUCGUACAGCACCAUUGCACCGACGAUCAUCUCGGAUCUGUUCGUGCACGACAUGCGCUCCAAGAUGCUGGCACUGUUCUACUUUGCCAUACCCGUGGGAUCCGGUCUGGGAUACAUUGUGGGAUCCAAGACGGCGCACCUGGCCAACGAUUGGCGCUGGGCCCUGAGGGUCACACCCAUUUUGGGCAUUGUGGCGGUUCUACUCAUCAUGCUCAUCAAGGAUCCGGUGCGGGGUCACAGCGAGGGAUCGCACAACCUGGAGGCCACCACCUACAAGCAGGACAUCAAGGCGCUGGUCAAGAAUCGUUCCUUCAUGCUCUCCACGGCUGGAUUCACGUGCGUCGCCUUCGUGGCCGGAGCUCUGGCCUGGUGGGGACCUUCCUUCAUCUAUCUAGGCAUGAAGAUGCAGCCCGGCAACGAGAACAUUGUCCAGGACGAUGUUGCGUUCAACUUCGGAGUCAUCACCAUGUUGGCGGGCCUGCUGGGCGUGCCGCUGGGCUCGUUCCUGUCCCAGUACCUGGUGAAGCGUUAUCCCACGGCGGAUCCGGUGAUCUGCGCCUUUGGGCUGCUCGUGAGUGCGCCGCUGCUGACGGGCGCCUGCCUGCUGGUGAAUAGCAAUUCGGCUGGCACCUAUGCACUCAUAUUUUUCGGGCAGUUAGCUUUAAAUUUGAAUUGGGCAAUUGUUGCGGACAUACUGCUGUAUGUGGUGGUUCCCACACGGCGCUCCACAGCCGAGGCCUUCCAAAUCCUCAUCUCACACGCACUGGGCGAUGCCGGCAGUCCGUAUCUGGUGGGCGCAAUCUCUGAGGCCAUCAUGAAGCAUCUGCACAAGAACCCCAGCGACUCUGGUCUGACCACCGAGCUGCAGAGCAUGUCCCAAGUGGCGGGAAGUGCGAUCACCAAUGCCACCCAGGCGAUCACGGAAGCCACCACCAGUUUGAUCGAAACAGCGCACUCAGCAGUCUCCCAGGAAUACUCUGAUGUGGAGCAGUUCGAGGGACUGCAGUAUGCGCUCUUCUCCACCAGUUUUGUGGAGGUGCUGGGCGGCAUUUUCUUCAUAUUCACCGCCUGCUUCAUCAUCAAAGACAAGUACAACGCCACGCGAGGACUGCAAGGCGACCAGGGAGCGCGAGUGGUUCGAUCGUCAGUCGCCUUGGCCAGCGGGCAAAAGGACGUCGAGUCCUGUAACUCCGACUGCCUGGUCCUGUGCACUGACAUCGCGCUGCGCGAACGCACGUGAUAGCUCAAAUAUGAAAUGUGUAUACAUUUCACAUAGGUGCCCAGCACCAAAUGAUUAUUUUUUGGCCCAGUUCCCGAUGUCACGGCUCAACAACAGCAGCGGGAUGAGCGCGGUCAGAUUGCCUAAUACCAGCCGAUCCUCGAGGUUUUGCUGCGCACUCAGAGCUCCGAUGGCAUGCCGGGUGAACUGAUACUGACUGAAAACCAUCUUUAAUUUAAUCUACGGUCACUCGCACCACGCACAUCCCGCAUCGGAUCAAACUGGAAGCUUACGGGGACGGGAAGCUCAGUUGGGCCGACAAGUCCCCGAUGUUAAUGUUCCUAUUGAGAAGGAUCGGAUGGAAGGAGUAAGGAGGAUGGAAGGACCACCAUGCCAACGUUCAAGCACGCCACACCGAUUUGUAGAUAUAUAUACAAAACAAUCACUCACACAGGCACUCACUCCUCACCAAGUCAUAACAUUACACAGAUCAUUUUACUUGUAAACGUCAAAGGGCUAGGAUACCCACGAUACCUUGCUUCACUCACAUAUAGUCGUAGAUAGGUCUAGCUCUGGUAUUUUAGACUAAAUCAAAAUUAGCAAGAGUUUCUUCAAGCAGACUCGCAUUCGAAGAAGUGCUCCCUCAGAACGGAUAAUGUAAAUAGAUUAUCUCAGGCAUCGAAUGCGUAGUUUAUGCAGUUUGGAUAUUUAUAUAAAUGUAUGUAUGAGUAUAUAUAAUAUGAAUUGUAAAUAUAGAUAAGCACCGGGCCAUUGUAUAAGUGCAUAGUCUAUUUAAUCAGUUUUAUCAUAACGCCUUAGUUUUACACUGAACAUAAUUUUAAUCAUAGCUUUAGCUAGUUGUGUAACAAAUUGGAGUAAUGUGUGCACCCUCAGCAAUUACUGAAUAUUACAGCAAAACAAUUUUGAACCAAAACAACACCAAUCAGUCCUCGAGUUUGCUUUCUUUUAUUUGUUAAAUCUCAAUCGAAUGCUAGCCUAAUUGGAGCGCAUAUUAAAAGCGACAUAAAGACUGCGAGCAAUCAAAUAUUGGUACGUCGAUAUUUGGCUAAGAAUAAACCAAACUAAUUGUUUAGCAACUAAGGAAAUCAUCCGGGGCAAUAAAGAAACAUUUUAAAUCAA